rnacentral:lncRNA from 1 species
CUUUGACUCAGCAAGAUGCUUUGGUGCGUUGUUAAUAUCUUUGCUUCCUUCUUCAGCUAAGUUUACUUGGCCUAUUUAAGGACAGUCACAAAAGAGAGUUAAUGGAUACCAAAGUUUGGAAGAGACAGCACUAUCUCACUGUAACUUGGAACUGAACCAGAUGGGGUCUCGUUGUGCUGCCCAGGUUGCUCUUAAACUACUGAUCUCAAGCAAUCCUCCCACCUCUGGCUCUCAAGUAGCUGGGAUUACAGGCAAAUAAUGAUGGAAAUCUGGGGAUUCUUGAUGGGCCGUUGAGAUUCUAAUGGGAUCUGGUAUAAACACAUUUUAGCAGAGACUUACUUCCUCUCUGAAGUUUUCCUGACGUUGAAAUAUACCACAACAAACUCAGUACUGUCAAAAGUACUGGUUCUUAAAUACAGAGCACAUAUAUCACUCCAGUGGAAGAGUUCAUCAGAUAGUGAGAAUCUCACCUAUAAAUCUCAAGCAUGCCUGCCAAGGAGUCUCAAGUCAGGAACAGAGGAGAAAAUAGCCAUCAAAUAGGGCGUCUUGUCAGUAUUAUUCAAAUGUAAUAGAAAAUCAAAUUAUAAUAAAACAUUUAACAUA